rnacentral:rRNA from 1 species
AGCUCCAAUAGCGUAUAUUAAUGUUGUUGCAGUUAAAAAGCUCGUAGUUGGAUUUCUGGUCUAAUGCGCCUGGCCCGCCUCGUUUAGAGUGUGAGUGCCGGUGCGCGUUUGCCAUCCUUCUAGAGAACGUGCGUUGCAUUCAUUUGUUGCGUACGAGAUCUAGGACGUUUACUUUGAAAAAAUUAGAGUGUUUAAAGCAGGCUAUCGUUUUUGAAUAGAUUAGCAUGGAAUAAUAAUUUAGGACUUUGGUUCUAUUUUGUUGGUUUCUGGUACUGAAGUAAUGAUUGAUAGGGAUAGUUGGGGGUGCUCGUAUUCAAAGGCCAGAGGUGAAAUUCUCGGAUUCUUUGAAGACGAACUUAUGCGAAAGCAUUCACCAAGGAUGUCUUCUUUAAUCAAGAAC